rnacentral:pre_miRNA from 1 species
UUUAAACGCAACCAUAAGUUUCCGUGUCCAACUUUAAUCAUCUGUAUUAUUCGAAAUUUUUUUAUGAUUAGUAUUUUUAUUAUUAUAUUAGAUGAUAAAACAUGAAUAGAAUUUUAUGCGUGACUUAUAUUUUUAUUUUUUUCGAAAAAUUUUUAAAUAAGACGGAUGAUCAAAUUUGGAUAUGGAAACUAAUGACUACCUUAGAA